GACGAACGCUGGCGGCGUGCUUAACACAUGCAAGUCGAACGGAAAGGCCCUGCUUUUGUGGGGUGCUCGAGUGGCGAACGGGUGAGUAACACGUGAGUAACCUGCCCUUGACUUUGGGAUAACUUCAGGAAACUGGGGCUAAUACCGGAUAGGAGCUCCUGCUGCAUGGUGGGGGUUGGAAAGUUUCGGCGGUUGGGGAUGGACUCGCGGCUUAUCAGCUUGUUGGUGGGGUGGUGGCUUACCAAGGCUUUGACGGGUAGCCGGCCUGAGAGGGUGACCGGCCACAUUGGGACUGAGAUACGGCCCAGACUGCUACGGGAGGCAGCAGUGGGGAAUAUUGCACAAUGGGCGGAAGCCUGAUGCAGCAACGCCGCGUGCGGGAUGACGGCCUUCGGGUUGUAAACCGCUUUCGCCUGUGACGAAGCGUGAGUGACGGUAAUGGGUAAAGAAGCACCGGCUAACUACGUG
rnacentral:rRNA from 1 species